AUUUGAAAUCUGGCUUCGGCCCGAGUUGUAAUUUGUAGAGGAAGCUUUUGGCGAGGCACCGACUGAGUCCCCUGGAACGGGGCGCCAUAGAGGGUGAGAGCCCCGUAUAGUCGGACGCUGAGCCUCUGUAAAGCUCCUUCGACGAGUCGAGUAGUUUGGGAAUGCUGCUCAAAAUGGGAGGUAAAUUUCUUCUAAAGCUAAAUAUUGGCCAGAGACCGAUAGCGCACAAGUAGAGUGAUCGAAAGAUGAAAAGCACUUUGAAAAGAGGGUUAAAUAGCACGUGAAAUUGUUGAAAGGGAAGCGCUUGUGACCAGACUUGCGCCUGGCCGAUCAUCCGGGGUUCUCCCCGGUGCACUCGGCCAGGCUCAGGCCAGCAUCGGUUCUCUUGGGGGGACAAAGGUCCCGGGAACGUAGCUCCCUCCGGGGAGUGUUAUAGCCCGGGGCGUAAUGCCCUCGAGGGGACCGAGGACCGCGCUUCGGCAAGGAUGCUGGCG
rnacentral:rRNA from 1 species